CUGUUGAGCGCAUAAUCUUUGAAGCCAUUGAUUAAGCCGCGUGCUUCUAGAGAACCAAUACAUCCCCGAAGUCGAGGCUCGCCGCCAUUUACCACUUUCUUCCAUGUAACAAAUAAUGGGCUGAAACAAAGUACACUCUCUUCAAACAGGAGGAGGAGCAUCGUGACUGUUGUAGUGAGCAACGAGGGUGUCAAAGCAGUACACAACCAUCUCCUUGUUGGCGGACACCAUUUUUGCGUGGGUUUCAAAGUUGCGAAAAGAAUUAUUAGGAACAGCUUUUCAGAAUCGAAAUUCUGAAAACGCUGCCGUUCGGAUUCUUCCUUCUUCGGAAGCCGAUAACAGACGCAGCAAAAUAAAUUGGGAGGCGAGACUUUUGGAGUCGUUGGACCCUACCUACCUGCCUAGCAA